rnacentral:sRNA from 1 species
UCGUACUGCCCUCCUUGGGCGUUUCCUCCCUAAGACUUGGGCCGUCGCUCCCGCGACGGCCCUUUUUCUUUCCCGGC